UUAUUUCUAUGACCAUUGUGGGUUUUUCUUUCAUUAACCGAGGGGUACCAACAGUUUUGUCCACGUGUGUAUUUGGUUCCCACGGUGACCGGAUGUGGCAUGGGCGCACUCUUCUGGGCCCCUACAGACUUGGGCUGUGUGCCCCCACAUUGCAGUCUCAGUCUGCUGUGUCCGAUCUCCGUGCAUGAUCUAGAGGUUACCAUAUGAGCGGCUGCGAGAGAGUAAUGUCUGUGGAUGAUGUUUCCAGUCAAAGCGUUCUCCACCACUCAAGGAUCCUCAGAGAUGUGCACUGCCAGGUAUUUGAAGCUGCACACAAUCUCUACAAGUGAUCUGUUCAUCCUCUGCUGGCUUCUCCCAAAGUCC
ensembl:lncRNA